rnacentral:rRNA from 1 species
AUACAGAGGGCCCGAGCGUUAAUCGGAAUCACUGGGCUUAAAGAGUUCGUAGGCGGUCUUGUAAGUAUCUUGUGAAAUCCCACGGCUCAACCGUGGAAUUGCUUGGUAAACUGCAAGACUUGAGUAUGGUAGAGGCUGUCGGAACUCUAGGUGGAGCGGUGAAAUGCGUAGAUAUCUAGAGGAACACCAAAGGCGAAGGCAGACAGCUGGGCCAUUACUGACGCUGAGGAACGAAAGCGUGGGUAGCGAACGGGAUUAGAAACCCCAGUAGUCC